rnacentral:rRNA from 1 species
CAAUAGCGUAUACUAAUGUUGUUGCAGUUAAAAAGCUCGUAGUUGAACUUCUGGUAGGAGUGUCCCGGCCUUUUUGUUUUUACAAAUUGUAUGCUGUGUGACAUCUCUGGCCAUCCUUCUUCUUUGUUUAAAGAAGAUCUUUCACUGUAAAAAAAUUAGGGUGUUCAAAGCGAAAGUUUCUUUGGAAUAUAUUAGUAUGGGAUGAUAAGAUAGGCUCUAGAUGCUAUUUUGUUGGUUUGCACAUUUAGAGAAUGAUUAACAGGGACAGUUGGGGGUAUUCGUAUUUACAUGUCAGAGGUGAAAUUCUUGGAUUUUGGAAAGACGAACUACUGCGAAAGCAUUUACCAAGGAUGUUUUCAUUAA